rnacentral:rRNA from 1 species
CUGAACCAGCCAAGUAGCGUGAAGGAUGACUGCCCUAUGGGUUGUAAACUUCUUUUAUAAAGGAGUAAAGUCGGGUAUGCAUACCCGUUUGCAUGUACUUUAUGAAUAAGGAUCGGCUAACUCCGUGCCAGCAGCCGCGGUAAUACGGAGGAUCCGAGCGUUAUCCGGAUUUAUUGGGUUUAAAGGGAGCGUAGAUGGAUGUUUAAGUCAGUUGUGAAAGUUUGCGG